UUCUGCAGCCCUGGCGUCCAUGGGCUCUUUGUCUGGGCCGAGGAGGGGUUUGGUGUCUGGGGGCAGUUAGCAGAGAGCUGCGUGUUUGCAAGCUUCAAUGACUCUUGCUCCAGACAGCUUUUUAACACGCUCCCCGCACAGCUACACUGGGUAGGAACUGCUUUUUCCAUUGCCAGCUUUGGUUUUGUCACAGUGGUUUUAUUGCAGUUUAGAUUUCUUAGGCAUGUAAAAUGCCAUCAAAUUGGUAACAGGAAGAGGAGGGAGGUUUGCAGCCCAACCUCGGGCUUAGCAAUAGCCGAGCGGGCCACUGUGUGCGAGGGAAAGAAUGAGUGUUUUGUGCCCGACCUCGUAUGCUUUAGAGAAAGGCUGGCUCCAUGUCUGUGUGAACCUGCUUUGAGCUGCUGCUUCUGGAAGUCUGGAGGAGCUUUUCCAAAGCCUGUCAUAGCGAACGGACCGCAUCUGGGGAGGAGUGUCAGCAACAGAGCAAGUCCGUCCCGUCUGCUCGCUGGCAGCAUUUUCCCUCUGCCUUUGAAGCAACCUCCGUGAGCCUGCUGCAACUGUCGUGCUGAGCAGCCCCUCUCCUUACCAGUGAUGCUGCUCUUCUCCAUGCUGUGGUGCUGCAUGCUGCUCGAGGUUGGCUACGGCUCAGGUGAGGGACGUCUGAACCCAGACCCGAGCUUUCUACCACCCUGUAGGUCAGAUCAAAAUGGCGAGGUGGUGUGGACUUCCAGAGACGUGGUGGGGAUGUGGGUGUAACUCUGGGCUGCCAGUGUUUAAUUCCUUUCCUUUUCCGCUCCAACCCCUUCAUGUUGCUUGUGUGGGAGGCUGUGCAGCUGCUGAGCCAUGGUGGAUGCUGACAGUCCGUGAGCUCUCCUUCACUGAUGCCUUCAGAGGACAAACAGCAAAUGAUCAAUUCAGAUAGCGGAAAAUGGGCUGGCUCUUCUUUCCGUCUCUAGAGGCUGUAAAAACUCCCAUUACUCUGUUAUGCAGAAGGAUCCAUCUCUGACGUGCCUGAGCCAGCCAGUUAAGUGCAGACCUCACAGGAAAUGACUUUUUUGAUUCUUGACAAGAAGUCAACGAAGAAUAACUUUUCAAGGGAAGUGUUCUUCCUGGCAGGAACAGUG